AAGUGUAAAAGAGGGAAGUAAACUGAAACUUCUCCAGACGAUGGAAGGGACUUCUCUCUCUUAUCUUGAGAGAGAAAAUUCUCUCGUACCUUCCCUCUUCACAGAUUCUGAUUUUUCAGAGGGAGUACGAGAUUUGUUCCCUUUUCUUUUGUUGUAAAAUAUUUCUUUCGGUCUAGUGAUCGAACUUUUGCUUUCCGGUAGCGGGUUAAUCUCUUCGCUACGCGAUUUUGAUGUGUAUUUCAAUCCAUUUUCUGAGCUGUUCUUCAUCUUCAUAAAUCUCUGAAAUUGGGUUGAAUAUAAUAACUCUCUGAUGCUUAAUCAGAGCUUAUGUUGCCCUCUUUCUUUUCAAGAUUAUUUUAUAUCCCGUUGAAUCUGAGAAUUCCUUUCUCUCGUUCGGUUAUACUUGAUUCUCUGUUCAGAUUGGUAUCAAUCUGUGCAUAUAUUCUGAACUCUUGCAAAGUAACCUUGAUGAAUAGAUGAAUGAAGUUUUCGAGAUAGCUUGGUUGAUUGAGUUUCAGAUUCAGUAGAGAUGGAACUUUCACUUUGCCAAAGUGUUCCAACAUAGGGUCUGAUCUUAAUCUUCACAAGGAUUCGCAGUACUACCACUUCCGGCGAUAGGAUAUGGAGUAUCUACAGAUUUGGCGGUUGAUUGAGAAAGAAGAAUGCAAGUGGAAUCAAGGGAGUGAGCCUUAUACACUGAGGUUCCAAUUCUCUGCUAUGGUGGAGAUAGAUAGAGAACGGAGGAGUUUCGCGGACGAAACGGUGGUGAAGUCUGUCGGUGACCGGAGAUUGCAUGGAGGACGCGUGGAGCAAGACUGCGUACUCUUCUGGAAACGGACAGACACGUGGGGACAUUUGGAUUUCUCUUCCAUUGGGCUUCAGUUUAUGUUUAUUAUGUCUUUUGGGCCUCUAAUGUACUAAAUAGAUUUCAUUUGUAAGCUUGUUGGGCCAAGUUUAUGGAUUUAAUAAAAUCCAGAAGUUGACAGGAAAAAAAAACUGAAACUUCUCUCCACUGCAAAGGGUUCCUGAAAAUUUAAUCUAUACUAAUAAAAUAGACCUUUGAGGCUUCA
rnacentral:lncRNA from 1 species